UACGUAGGGUGCAAGCGUUAAUCGGAAUUACUGGGCGUAAAGCGUGCACAGGCGGUUUUGUAAGGCAGGUGUGAAAUCCCCGGGCUCAACCUGGGAACUGCAUUUGUGACUGCACGGCUGGAGUGCGGCAGAGGGGGAUGGAAUUCCGCGUGUAGCAGUGAAAUGCGUAGAUAUGCGGAGGAACACCGAUGGCGAAGGCAAUCCCCUGGGCCUGCACUGACGCUCAUGCACGAAAGCGUGGGGAGCAAACAGG
rnacentral:rRNA from 1 species